CUCUCUCUGGCAGCCAGACAGAGGGGUGGAUGUGCUUCCAAGCUGUGCACCUUCAUCAAGUAGGCCUUUUGGUUUCGGAAACUUUCUCAUUUUAUUUGAUUUAUUACCCUUACUUUCAAUUAGAUUGUAUUAUAUUGUGUUAUCUUGCAUUCUGAUAUCGUAGUAAAAUAAGUUUUCCUCCUUAGAUCAUUGCCGCUGCUCCAUUCUUUUUCCCUCUCUGAGCCCAGCUCCCGUUCCUCUACCCCUUUCCCUUUUCCCUUCCCAUUUUUGGGAGCCAAGGAGCCCACGGGCCUACUGCCCCCCUGUCACAGGCAUAGAUUUAUCCAGAUUGAUCUAGAUAACUCCGUGACAACGCCUCAGAGGUAAGCAGGUCAUUUAAGGAAGCUGAAGUAACACAUGGGGAGAGUUCCCUAUGGAAAAAUAGUAUUUUUACUGUUUUACCCCAAACACUAAAUUCUAAAUCCUGCCUGGAAAAAAAUAUUUGUUAACACAUAAAUUACCAAUUUUUUCUUACUGCAUACUUGAAGGGAAGAAAAUCCCCAAACAUUAUGGAUAAACUCUUUUUUUUUUUUUAAUAAGCCCACUCAUUUUGUAUUGUUUAUUGCUUUUUGCUCAAGACUAUCAGAAUAAUUCUUACUGUUUUGGCUUUGCAUCUGAAAUAACAUCUUUGUAGAAGGCAAGAAUUAAGAAAAAUGUGACAGCCUAAUGAAACAAGGCAGUACUUCCUCAUGCAUAAAAUGAAGUGAAAAUCUUGUUUGUUUUAUUUCAAUAAAAAGUUUUAGCCCACUAGGUGGAGAUUUUUAGCUUUCUGUACCAGAUUUUUUUCUGUACCUGGAACAAUUUGAAAUGCUGAAGUGAAAAACGCAAAGACUAUUAAAAAAAGUACUGUUAAUUCACAUGGCUCAAAUGGACAAAUUCCAAUUAUUUAGUUACACAACCAGGCAACAUUUCCACUAACGUAAUUAAAAAUGUAUGCUUUCCAUGCAAUUAAAAAAAACAGUAACCAAUGUGAAAAUGUGUUUAAACCAGUAAAGAAAAUAACAAGAUGUACAUAAGUACAUCUUACUUCCAGGAAAACUUUCUACUGUGUCAGGCACCAUGAUGUGAAGUUUAUAAGGUCAAAAAAGUGAGAAGAUCUACUACUUCAUACUUCAUGCAUUCCUUUACUUUUUUUAAUAGCUUUCAGUAUGCCUUGUUAAGCCCUAGCAAGAGCUUAUGCCUUGGAAAAAAACUUAUAACAAAAAAUCAUAGAAUUGCUCAGGUUGGAAAAGACUUUAAAGAUCAUCAAGUCCAACCACAACCUAACCAUACUGCCCUAACACUAACAGCCCUCCACUAGAUCAUGUCCCUGAGCACCACAUCCAAAUGGUUUUUAAACACAUCCAGGGAUGGUGACUCAACUGGAAUAGGCUCCCUGGGGAGCCUAUUCCAGUGCUUAACAAACCUUUCUGUAAAGAAGUAUUUCCAGAUAUCACCCCUAAACUUACCCUGGCACAACUUUAGGCCAUUUCUCUUCAUCCUGUCACCAGUGAGAAGAGACCAACCCUGCUAUUGCUUUAAGCACCUUUCAGAUACUGGAAGAGAGCAAUAAGGUCUCCCCUCAGCCUCCUCUUCCCCAGACUAAACAGUCCCAGUUCCUUCAGUCGCUCCUUGUAGGACAUAUUCUCCAAGCCCCUCACCAGCUUUGUUGCCCUUCUUUGGACUGGCUCCAGCACCUCAGUGUCCUUUUAGUAUUGAGGUCCAGCAUCAAACGCACGGACUCAGACAUGAACAAUCCAAAUUGUUUAUCACAAAUUCUCACAUUUCUUAUAUACAUUCACAAGUUUCCUUUUUUAUCUUUCCCAUCCACCCUUACAACUUUCCCAUCUACUUUCACAUGUCAAUAGAAUAUUCUACAAACACUCCUUAACCAUGCAUGCGGGUGCUUAUCCAAUCAGAGCCACGAGCCGUUUCUUUUACUUUUUUUUUUCUUCUAGAGGCGUCCUUGGUUCUCAUGCUGUUUAUCUUGCUUCACAGCUGCUGCGCUAAAUAGUUUCUCUGGUUGGAGAUCCCUCCAUUGUGGAGUCCUUCUGAGAGCCUAGAUCUUUGGAGAUGGGUGAACACAUUUACUUUCCUAUGACCACCUGAUGUAUAAUGUUUUUAAGAUAAUCAAUCAUACGUAAGUCCCUGCCUGGCUCACCAAAUUGGGCAGAUCAAUAUUAUGGGAGGACUAGCAUGAUAAAAAAUGUGCUUUAAGGAUGGGAAAAGGAUUGCUUACCUGGAUCUGAAGAUAUCAAGUUCGCAGGGGAAAGCUCCAUCUGGGAGAGAUCUCCCGAAAGAGAUCCUUUCCCAGUGGCAGCCAGACCCUAAAUAGGGCCUAAGAGAGGUGGAGCCAGGUUCCACCCCUUCUGGUUGGGAGAGGUAGAUUGUGUUUUUGUGGUGGAAAUUUCCAGUAUUUAUGUAGCGUAGGAUAAGUUGUUUUUCACAAAGAAAGCUGCUGAACAGAGUAAAGUUGAGACCGGGGCGUUCCGACCUAGGUAGAAUUGGCACAGGCACUAAGUGAGGUAAUUAUAUAGGGUAGGGGAGAGUCUGGUACAGGACAGAACAAGUGUGCAAAUUUUUGAGAAUACUGUCCUCCUGUCACCAUAGAAAGUACAGAACAUGCCCAGAAACAGUGGGUUGGAAGCAGACAUUGUAUGGAAAUGUAAGGUAGCAACAGUGUUGGAAGACUGUGAGCCUGAGAUGCUCAACCAAUGAGUGCCAGGAGAGGCGUUACCUGCAUCAGACCCAGGGUAUAUAAUGGAAUGGAUUUCUCUGACUAGGUGCACAAUUUCUCCCUCGUCAGUAGGGAGUGUGCGCCAUUAUUACAAUAACGAAUAAACUGCUCUUCACAGAGAUCUUUGCCUGAUUAGAAAUUUUUGAUCCUGAGCAUGUUUCUUACAGUUUUCACACAGUAAGUGCUGCAACACUAAUUACUAUACUGGCUGGAUGGCCUUCUUUCUCAUGCUAUAAAACUACAAAAAGCCAGCCCAAAAUGAUCAACUAGAUGUUUUAGUGUUGUUUAAGGGAGAAAGAAGUUGUAUACCUAACUCAGCUAAAUGACAAAUAAAAGAGGGUACUUUGUCUAUAUGAGGGUACUUUGUCUAUAUGAGGAGUCAGUAAAUGUAAAAUAGGAUUCAGCUAACAACAAUGGAUAGAGUUGAAAUGAUGCCUAAAGGCAGAAGGAAAAGCUGCCCCUUAGAUCAUAGAAGAGUCUCUGGAAGAUGAUGGUGGAAUGGUCUUCUCUACUAGUACAGUGGUCAUCACUAAAAUGUCCACAUUUACUAAUACUGCACCCCACUCUUAUUUUUGUGGCCCCGUGAGUUGGCAGUGGUGGUUCAUCAUGGAGCCACCUGCGGACCCGAGGAUGUUAUUAAGAGAUAAGAUCUGUGAACAUCUGGGGGAUAAGGAUGGACAGUGGGCACUGCGAUUUCGUGAGACUGAUCUGAUAAUUCCUGGCAACUCUGUGCACAGACCGAGGAGUAAACUCACUCACUUUCCUCCGUGGAAUGGUGCUCCCCCCCUUUAUCAUCUUGGCCUCAAGUCAAGUCCUGUAACUACAAGAGGAAGACUGGAGACAGCUGACAAAGCAGAUGGAAUUGGCUUGGAUCAUCCCCUUAACAGCCUUCCUGAACCAAGCUCUGUGACUAGUGCUGAUGCUGAAGAGAAAUUCUGCCAGCUUGAGAAAGAAUUGGAACAAUGCAAAAGGAACAUUACAAUUUUUGCCUUUCCUAACUCUAACACCAUUAACCCCACUAACACAUCCAUGUAUCCUCUAAGGGAAGUUUCAAUGUUAUCAGGAGAUACAGAUAUGUAAACUCCCCGCUUACUUGUGGAGAGGAAAGAAAUUAUAAAAGGGAAGUGAAAUCUUUAAUGAAAAAACCCUAUUGGAUUAGCCGAACAGUUUGAUCAAUUCUUGGUCAUCUUUAGCUUAUAAAAUACUGGGUCUUAAUUUAACUGGGAACACCUUAAGAAUAAAAGGGGUGGAGGGGUCAGGAAUGAUAGUUUCACUUUUUGAGACUACUGAGUUAAAAUGGGAAGAUAAAAUAGUCACAGGGCAAUAGUUACAUGUGUCAGAAACAGCAACCAAUUCACUGGGGAGAGAUUUAAUAGUUAAAUUAGGAUUGCAGUUGAGAAUCUGUGAAACGGGUAUAAAGAUGUCAGUGAAUGUGUUAACAGCUGCUGAUGAAAAAGAAAUAAAUCCAAAGGUGUGGUCAAGGAAA